rnacentral:misc_RNA from 1 species
AUGAGUGGAGAUUGGUUUGUUACGGGUGGUUGGCUCUUUGUUUGUGCAACWGCUUCCACCUGGCKUACCUCCUCASUUAUGCGUCAAGGCUUGUAUCGCCUAGAGCGUAUUGUUGGYUUUCUGUAUUGGAUACCUAAUCGAAGGUAUUAUUUUGAUCGAUUGSAGUCCCUUUUCGUCUUGUGUUGCAUUUUGUGUCGCAUGAUGAACUUUGAAGCGGUCUCUAUGAUCCAUCACGUUGAUGCACUUGCAUUGAUGUUGUGGCCCAUUGAGCUUUGUUUGGUUUCUUGGAUAUGGAACAUGAAGUGGGCAUGGGGCUGUCAUGAUCCUCUUUUUGCCCUCGUAUGGUGUUCUCGAACGACGGGUCAUGCGCGCCUAGGCUCGUACCUGCGUGAUGAUCUAUGUCAAAGAGGAAUGCUACCUGGUUGAUCCUGCCAGUAGUCAUAUGCUUGUCUCAAAAAUUAAGCCAUGCAU